rnacentral:rRNA from 1 species
UAUAAAUAUUUUAUUUUUUAUAUUGUUUAUUUUAUUUUUGAUGUGAGUUUAUAUUUUAUUUUUGUUUUUAGUAUUUAUUUGAAAUAAUUUUUUUAAUUAUAGUUUAGUUGUACUGUUAAGGUUUAUUUUAUUAUAUUUUAAGUAGAAUGUUUUUUGUACCUUUUGUAUCAGGGUUGAUUAAAUAUUAUUAUAUAUUUUAUAUUUCUCGAAUUAAGUUGAUUUAAGUAUUUAUGUUGGUUAAGGUUGUAUACUUAUCAAUUAUAUUUUCUUAGAUGUGAUAUGCUAUUCGCGACUUAUUAUAUCUAGUUUUCUUAGAAUUGAAUUUAAUUCAGCUAAUUUUAUUUAAUUUUUAAAAGUUUUUUAUUUAUUUGUAUUUUUAGUAAAAAUUUGGGGGAUAAGCUCUUAAUUUUAUUUAUAAUUUUAAUAAAUUUGAUGUUGUGUAGGCUUUGAAAUUGUUAUCACUUAUUAGUAUUUUAUAAUUUAUUAUUUUUGUUAAUUUAUUUUUAAUAAUUUAAUUAUUUAUUUGAAUGAUUUAUUUAAUUAUUUAUUAUUUUUAAUAAUGAUUAAAUUAGUAUAAUUUUAUUUAUUUUGUAAAAGUUAUUUCUUAUGUUGAUAUAAGGAAUUAAGCAAAAUUAUUUAUUCGCUUGUUUAUCAAAAACAUCUUUUCUUGAAAAUUUAUUUGAGAUCUGGCCUGCCCAAUGAUUUAUUUAAUGGCCGCGGUAUUUUGACCGUGCAAAGGUAGCAUAAUCAUUAGUUUAUUAAUUGUGGACUUGUAUGAAUGGUUAGACGAAAUAUUGACUGUCUCAUAUUUAUUAGUUGAAUUUAAUUUUUUAGUUAAAAAGCUUAAAUUUUAUUGUAAGACGAGAAGACCCUAUAGAUCUUUAUUUUUAAUGGAUAUUUUUUGUUAGUUUAUUUAUAUAAAUUUUUAUUAAAUUUUUUGUUGGGGUGACAUGGAGAUAUAUUUAACUCUUUAUUUUAUAUACAAUUAUUUUUGAUUUAAUUGACCUUUUAUUAUUGUUUUAAGAUAUAGAUACCUUAGGGAUAACAGCGUAAUUUUUUUUAAAAGUUCUUAUUGACAAAAAAGAUUGCGACCUCGAUGUUGGAUUAAGAUUAAUUUAAGGUGUAGGUGCUUUAUAGAUUAGGUCUGUUCGACCUUUAAAUUCUUACAUGAUCUGAGUUCAAACCGGCGUGAGCCAGGUUGGUUUCUAUCUUCAAUUUAUUUAGUUAAUUUAGUACGAAAGGACCAUUUAAUUUAAAAAUUUUAUUUUAGAAAAUAAAAUU